rnacentral:misc_RNA from 1 species
AUCUUAUCAUGAACAAGAUCACAAUGCAAUAUUACCGGGACACAACUCCACGCGUUUCUGCAUUCGUAGUUACACAGCGACUUGAGAUAGAAACCUACAAGCAAUACUCGACACCCUGAACACGUGACUUCACAAAGCAUAUUUUGACAUUAUGGCGUUCCCUGCUGAUGUUCGGAAAUAUGCAGAUUACUGUGGAUUACACGUCCAGAAGGAAGGCAUUACCAAUGCUAAUGGCACGCUAUUAAGGAGUAUGUUUCCUAAUUACACUUCUCACCUGGAAAACGUGAAAAGGGUAAUGAGGAGGUUUUCACGGUAUUUUUAUCUUUGCAUACGUACCGCCAAGUGUCCAUGUCGUGAUGAUCCUGCGUGUAAAAAUGAUCUUCACGGGUCAGAUCUGAUUGAUAUAAAUCUUGGUCUUGAUGAUAAAAUGCGAUCUUUGAUGCUUCGUCUUCUGGCACAUGACUUACAAUGUAUGGGUAUCUUCACAGAUGAAGAAGAAAUAACAUGCAACUGUAACUGUAUCGGUGCGAUGAAACUUCAGUUUUGCAAUGCACCCUAGUCCACACUGGAUGAACUCAAAUGAUUAAACAACGCCACAGAUAGAAAUUCGCAUUUCGUCUAUUUCUGAAGAGAACGUAAAUGUAUGUUACUUUUACUUUCUUUCAAAGAGGGUGUAGACGAUGGUGGCGAUAGGUCCGGUUUGGGGGGGUCAGGACCUAUCAAGGUUAUUACAUUGUUAACACAAAUAACCUUGUUAUUUUUCUACUUUCUAUGCUUUGGAGACUGUUAGUGCCUUAGAAUUAUUAAUACUGGCAUGUGGAUGUAUGGGAAUGGCUUUAUAAUGAAGACGAUACAAUAUGCAUGUACCCUGAAGUCGAACGGUUUUGUGUUAAUAAAAAAAGACAUUUCAUGUGAUUCCAUAGCAAACGAUUGUGUAAUAUAGCCAUUUGGUUUUUAUUUAUGCUUCCAUAAACCAAAAGCAAAUUAGGCAACGCCCAUAACCAACUAAUGCUUCCUGAUUGGCCGAUAAGAGUGGGCUAGGUUUGUUUGGCAUUAUUGCGCUGAUCGUUUUCACUGAUUUUGUGUCCUUAUAUGCAUUAUUGUUAUGUUAAUGAUUAAAUAAACACUGUGAUGUUAA